AUUGAACGCUGGCGGCAUGCCUUACACAUGCAAGUCGAACGGUAACAGGCCGCAAGGUGCUGACGAGUGGCGAACGGGUGAGUAAUGCAUCGGAACGUGCCCAGUAGUGGGGGAUAGCCCGGCGAAAGCCGGAUUAAUACCGCAUACGACCUGAGGGUGAAAGGGGGGGAUCGCAAGACCUCUCGCUAUUGGAGCGGCCGAUGUCAGAUUAGCUAGUUGGUGGGGUAAAGGCCUACCAAGGCAACGAUCUGUAGUUGGUCUGAGAGGACGACCAGCCACACUGGGACUGAGACACGGCCCAGACUCCUACGGGAGGCAGCAGUGGGGAAUUUUGGACAAUGGGGGGCAACCCUGAUCCAGCAAUGCCGCGUGUGUGAUGAAGGCCUUAGGGUUGUAAAGCUCUUUUACCCGGGAUGAUAAUGACAGUACCGGGAGAAUAAGCUCCGGCUAACUCCGUGCCAGCAGCCGCGGU
rnacentral:rRNA from 1 species